rnacentral:rRNA from 1 species
GGGUUGUGAGGUUAAGCGACUAAGCGUACACGGUGGAUGCCCUGGCAGUCAGAGGCGAUGAAGGACGUGCUAAUCUGCGAUAAGCGUCGGUAAGGUGAUAUGAACCGUUAUAACCGGCGAUUUCCGAAUGGGGAAACCCAGUGUGAUUCGUCACACUAUCAUUAACUGAAUCCAUAGGUUAAUGAGGCGAACCGGGGGAACUGAAACAUCUAAGUACCCCGAGGAAAAGAAAUCAACCGAGAUUCCCCCAGUAGCGGCGAGCGAACGGGGAGCAGCCCAGAGCCUGAAUCAGUGUGUGUGUUAGUGGAAGCGUCUGGAAAGGCGCGCGAUACAGGGUGACAGCCCCGUACACAAAAAUGCACAUGCUGUGAGCUCGAUGAGUAGGGCGGGACACGUGGUAUCCUGUCUGAAUAUGGGGGGACCAUCCUCCAAGGCUAAAUACUCCUGACUGACCGAUAGUGAACCAGUACCGUGAGGGAAAGGCGAAAAGAACCCCGGCGAGGGGAGUGAAAAAGAACCUGAAACCGUGUACGUACAAGCAGUGGGAGCCUCUUUUAUGGGGUGACUGCGUACCUUUUGUAUAAUGGGUCAGCGACUUAUAUUCUGUAGCAAGGUUAACCGAAUAGGGGAGCCGAAGGGAAACCGAGUCUUAACUGGGCGUUAAGUUGCAGGGUAUAGACCCGAAACCCGGUGAUCUAGCCAUGGGCAGGUUGAAGGUUGGGUAACACUAACUGGAGGACCGAACCGACUAAUGUUGAAAAAUUAGCGGAUGACUUGUGGCUGGGGGUGAAAGGCCAAUCAAACCGGGAGAUAGCUGGUUCUCCCCGAAAGCUAUUUAGGUAGCGCCUCGUGAAUUCAUCUCCGGGGGUAGAGCACUGUUUCGGCAAGGGGGUCAUCCCGACUUACCAACCCGAUGCAAACUGCGAAUACCGGAGAAUGUUAUCACGGGAGACACACGGCGGGUGCUAACGUCCGUCGUGAAGAGGGAAACAACCCAGACCGCCAGCUAAGGUCCCAAAGUCAUGGUUAAGUGGGAAACGAUGUGGGAAGGCCCAGACAGCCAGGAUGUUGGCUUAGAAGCAGCCAUCAUUUAAAGAAAGCGUAAUAGCUCACUGGUCGAGUCGGCCUGCGCGGAAGAUGUAACGGGGCUAAACCAUGCACCGAAGCUGCGGCAGCGACGCUUAUGCGUUGUUGGGUAGGGGAGCGUUCUGUAAGCCUGUGAAGGUGUGCUGUGAGGCAUGCUGGAGGUAUCAGAAGUGCGAAUGCUGACAUAAGUAACGAUAAAGCGGGUGAAAAGCCCGCUCGCCGGAAGACCAAGGGUUCCUGUCCAACGUUAAUCGGGGCAGGGUGAGUCGACCCCUAAGGCGAGGCCGAAAGGCGUAGUCGAUGGGAAACAGGUUAAUAUUCCUGUACUUGGUGUUACUGCGAAGGGGGGACGGAGAAGGCUAUGUUGGCCGGGCGACGGUUGUCCCGGUUUAAGCGUGUAGGCUGGUUUUCCAGGCAAAUCCGGAAAAUCAAGGCUGAGGCGUGAUGACGAGGCACUACGGUGCUGAAGCAACAAAUGCCCUGCUUCCAGGAAAAGCCUCUAAGCAUCAGGUAACAUCAAAUCGUACCCCAAACCGACACAGGUGGUCAGGUAGAGAAUACCAAGGCGCUUGAGAGAACUCGGGUGAAGGAACUAGGCAAAAUGGUGCCGUAACUUCGGGAGAAGGCACGCUGAUAUGUAGGUGAAGUCCCUCGCGGAUGGAGCUGAAAUCAGUCGAAGAUACCAGCUGGCUGCAACUGUUUAUUAAAAACACAGCACUGUGCAAACACGAAAGUGGACGUAUACGGUGUGACGCCUGCCCGGUGCCGGAAGGUUAAUUGAUGGGGUCAGCGCAAGCGAAGCUCUUGAUCGAAGCCCCGGUAAACGGCGGCCGUAACUAUAACGGUCCUAAGGUAGCGAAAUUCCUUGUCGGGUAAGUUCCGACCUGCACGAAUGGCGUAAUGAUGGCCAGGCUGUCUCCACCCGAGACUCAGUGAAAUUGAACUCGCUGUGAAGAUGCAGUGUACCCGCGGCAAGACGGAAAGACCCCGUGAACCUUUACUAUAGCUUGACACUGAACAUUGAGCCUUGAUGUGUAGGAUAGGUGGGAGGCUUUGAAGUGUGGACGCCAGUCUGCAUGGAGCCGACCUUGAAAUACCACCCUUUAAUGUUUGAUGUUCUAACGUUGACCCGUAAUCCGGGUUGCGGACAGUGUCUGGUGGGUAGUUUGACUGGGGCGGUCUCCUCCUAAAGAGUAACGGAGGAGCACGAAGGUUGGCUAAUCCUGGUCGGACAUCAGGAGGUUAGUGCAAUGGCAUAAGCCAGCUUGACUGCGAGCGUGACGGCGCGAGCAGGUGCGAAAGCAGGUCAUAGUGAUCCGGUGGUUCUGAAUGGAAGGGCCAUCGCUCAACGGAUAAAAGGUACUCCGGGGAUAACAGGCUGAUACCGCCCAAGAGUUCAUAUCGACGGCGGUGUUUGGCACCUCGAUGUCGGCUCAUCACAUCCUGGGGCUGAAGUAGGUCCCAAGGGUAUGGCUGUUCGCCAUUUAAAGUGGUACGCGAGCUGGGUUUAGAACGUCGUGAGACAGUUCGGUCCCUAUCUGCCGUGGGCGCUGGAGAACUGAGGGGGGCUGCUCCUAGUACGAGAGGACCGGAGUGGACGCAUCACUGGUGUUCGGGUUGUCAUGCCAAUGGCACUGCCCGGUAGCUAAAUGCGGAAGAGAUAAGUGCUGAAAGCAUCUAAGCACGAAACUUGCCCCGAGAUGAGUUCUCCCUGACUCCUUGAGAGUCCUGAAGGAACGUUGAAGACGACGACGUUGAUAGGCCGGGUGUGUAAGCGCAGCGAUGCGUUGAGCUAACCGGUACUAAUGAACCGUGAGGCUUAACCUUACAACGCCGAAGCUGUU